rnacentral:rRNA from 1 species
UGCCAGACUCCUACGGGAGGCAGCAGUAAGGGAUAUUGGUCAAUGGGGGAAACCCUGAACCAGCAACGCCGCGUGAGGGAAGACGGUUUUCGGAUUGUAAACCUCUGUCCUCUGUGAAGAUGAUGACGGUAGCAGAGGAGGAAGCUCCGGCUAACUACGUGCCAGCAGCCGCGGUAAUACGUAGGGAGCAAGCGUUAUCCGGAAUUAUUGGGUGUAAAGGGUGCGUAGACGGGAAAACAAGUUAGUUGUGAAAUCCCUCGGCUUAACUGAGGAACUGCAACUAAAACUAUUUUUCUUGAGUGCAGGAGAGGUAAGUGGAAUUCCUAGUGUAGCGGUGAAAUGCGUAGAUAUUAGGAGGAACACCAGUGGCGAAGGCGACUUACUGGACUGUAACUGACGUUGAGGCACGAAAGUGUGGGGAGCAAACAGGAUUAGAUACCCGCGUAA